UAUCUUUUUUUGAAUUGUGAG
rnacentral:piRNA from 1 species